AGCACUGAUGCUGAAAGUAUAGUCAACGCUCCAGCAAAAAAAUUUCACGCUCCCUCUCCUUUUUUCAGACUCCCUCGCAACCUUGGCUCCUCUCCCUCGCAUUUUUUUCAAUCCCUCCCAAACUCGCUCGACAUUUUUCAGCUUCUACCUCCUGAAAAAAAAAUAAAACUCACAAUUUUUUUGGAUCUCCUCCAUCUUCUUCUUCUCUUUCCUCCAUCUAGACACUCGAAGUUUGGCCACAGCAAAAAUAACCUAAGACCUUAGAAGAAAGGGAGAGCCAUAGACAUCCUUCCUCCUCGUCUAGAGAGAGCCAUGGAAGUCCCUUCCUUAGGGUUUUAACCUUCGGCGUCGGCAUCCUCUUUUGUGGCAUCCUCUUUCUCAUCGGCGUCGUCGUGUGAGAUUAUUUAAGUCAGGGUUUCAAUGUUUUGGGAAAUUUCAAUUAGGGUUUCAAUUAUUGAGUAAUUUCUCUAAUCUUACUGUGUUUUUCUCUCUUCGGCUGGCUCAUUGUCUUUUGGAUCUCACUGCCUCUCUGGGCUUUAAUCUAAUGUAUCGGGAGGUGACAGAUCUACGAUUUUCUCUUUCUCAAUAAGUUUUUUUUUUUUUUUUCUGGUAUCUGUUCAGGUUUGAAGUCCAUCAAUGUGGAUCGUCCUUUUGCUGAGAAACACUAUGAGGACUUUUCUGCAAAGCCCUUUUUCAGUGGAUUGGUUGAUUAUAUUAUUUCUGGUCCCGUUGUUGCUAUGAUUUGGGAGGUUAAGAAUGUUAUCCUAACUGGCCAAAAGAUUAUUGGUGCCACUAACCCAGCAGAAUCUGCCCCUGGAACCAUCCGUGGUGAUUAUGCAAUUGAGAUUGUCAGCUAUCCUAAUUUACCAUGUUUUCCUGUCUCUUUUGCAUUUAUAACUUUUUUAAUUAUUAUGUUUUAAUUUUUUGGUCUGUGCAGUUUGACCAGCCUGAACUAGGGGUUGAAUAUAUCAUGGUAAUUAGUUUCCCUCACUGAAUUUUAUGACAUAAUUACGUAUUUUAAUUAAGGAGAAUAUUUCAUUUUGUUGAAACCUUCAUGGGAAUGUAACUUCAUAGGAGAAUAUUGUAUAUAUAUGCAAGUAGAAUAUCUGUCAGUUGGCCUAGAUUUGAAUUAUAAAUGUUCGAGUUCACCCUCUUCAUUAAGAUGGACUUUUCUAGUACUAGUCCAAUUUAGUUGAAUCCAAUUUUUAGAAAGGUCAACUCAUUUGAAUGUAACUUCAUAGGAAAUCAGUUAUUGUUAUUGUGCUUAUGCAAUAUGGUCGUUAUUAUUUUGAAAUAUAUUCUGUGUUUGCUUUUCCAUUACUUCUUAAGACUUUAUCUCUAUUCCUUUGGUUCUGCAAAGAGACUAUUUUUACUUGUUUGUUCCUUUGUCUCUAUUUUGUUUGUUCUUCUUAUUCUUCUGUUGUUUACUCAAUCUGCGUAGUUUCAUGUAAAAUAUUGAUAAGUUGUAUAUGUGAUAAAUGGGAGGUUCACUGCUCAGGUCUAGUAGAUUUGCAAAGCUUCGAAAGAUUCAAUGCCAAAUAGCAGGCAGGAAUCUGUACAUCAGGCUUGCUUGCAGCACUAUUUCUGUGUUGUUCUUUGCAUCUGCUACCUAGCUAGCCACUUUUCAUUAGUACCAACGAUAGCAUAAAACUAUUUGUGUUGCAGAUCUAGAUGAUACCCUUUGUCCUAUGAGGUACUAAGACUUGACCAUGUCCUAAGGACUCUGCUGCUGAGCCUGCCGAAUCGAAAACUCAUAAGCUACAAGUUACAUAUAAGUUGAUGGUAACUAAAAAAAUUUGCUUCAAGAUUUAAUUUCUCUGAUGAUGUUUUGGCUUAACAAUAUGAAAACAGAUUUUCUCAAAUGGGGACAAGGUCCAUGUGGCAAAAACUCUUAGCAAGCUUGGAUUGAAGGAGUUAUAUGUUUUGAGACUCUGAAUCCCAUCAGUGAUAAUGAAGACUCAAAGUCCACAAGCUGCAGAAAGGUGUGAUGGAGAUAUCAUUGUUCAAAGCACUUCGUAAUAACAUAGAGCUAGACGAAACGACACGUACACCCAAAUGGAAUUGGAUGAGGUGCGAGAAGAAUUGGCAACUCAUGUCCUACAAUGGCUUUUUGAUUGAACUAAACAUUCCUCCAUUUUUCAUGUGUUUCUAGCUAGUAUUUUGCGUUAUAGACGAGUACGGAUAAUUUGUGGUGUGAGGUUGGAAAAAUUAUGAUUUGGGUGUGAUAAGUAUGGAUCUUUCAAGUA